CGAGUGCUCUUCCGAUUACAGAAUCCUCGUGGCUGUAUUUAGAAAAAAUGAAUCGCAUGGCUUUUCUCUGUAUUCUUUCAAGAGAAUUAAUAUUGGUUUUGGUGAAAGGAUCCCAAAUAAUGCAGGCGUAUUCUAAUUUGGGUCUGAUAAAAGUGGUAUAGGAUAAAGUUUUCACGUCAUGGGAUGCAUGUUUAAGCUUGUGGCGAAGUAGACAUAAUUUUCUGAAAGCUGAAGAGGCGGUGUUAGAAAUGUGGGUGCUCCAG
rnacentral:lncRNA from 1 species